GAUUUUGUUCCGAAUGCCUCAGUGUUUAUUUGGAUUCACACAGAGCGGAGCCGAGAGUACCGACCUCAACGGUCCUCUGGAUUUUGUUCUAGAGUGUCUCAACUGGAUUUCCUUCUAGAAUGCCUCAACGGUACUCUGGUUUUUUUUUUGCCUCAACGGUACUCUGGUUUUUUUUGCCUCAACGGUACUCUGGGUUUUUUCUAGAAUGCACAAAUUAUAGCCCUGAGAUGAGAGGAAAUCGACGACAUGGAUGAAAUGGCCGUUAUUAUUCUAGAUUACCGUUUGAAAUAGCACCAUUCACCUCUAUUUAUAGACAAUUCAUUUGAAAAGCAAGGGCAGAUUGUUCCCCAUUCCAUUUUUUUUGGCUUGUGGUUGUCGUCCCUAUUAUAUUUGUUUUUUUGUUUGCGUGUGAUCCUCUUAUGUUUUUAUUCAGUUUUUGGGUUUGGAUUUUUUCCUAUUUUAAUUUUCAUGGUCUUCUGUGGAUGGUGAAUUUUGAAUGGGGCACUGAGGAGGGCAGAGGUAUAUGCAAGCAGGUAUUCGAUCACGGACCUUUGCCGCCAGAGCGUGGGAGGUGGUUGCAGAGUCUUCGGCUUAUGGAGAUCGGCUAUAAUGCAUCCUGCCACAAGAACCAGGGGCAGCCUUCCUUAGCUGCAAAUAAAGAAGGCCAGCCCUAUGUCUUUUAUUCCAUUGCAUCUGUGCAUAAUAGUGGACCAGUGGUUUAGAAGAAGUUACAGGGUGGAAGGUUUUUAUUGGGUUCCAGCAUGGUGACGAUGGGUUUAGUUUGACACUGUUUGUCAGGGUUCCAACUUCCCACAGAAAGAUCUCAAGACUGCUAUUGAGACUGCAAUAGUUACUGGCUUUUAUUUUGGAAGUCGGCACAUAGUUACAGGCAAGCACAUCACCAACAUAGGCACGAAUAAGACCGCUUGUUGGAUGCAGCUUCAGAAAUGGAAAGAAGUCUACAUCUAAACGAUAAAGGUGGUUCUUUGAUUAACUCCAUCAAUACAAGCCAAUUUUUUUUUCAAGAAAAUCAAGUAGAGCAGUCUAGAUUCUAUACUACUAGUAAGAGGAAUAUUGCAACCAACACUCUGACUGGAAAAAUCUGACUCAUGGCCAUUGCGAUCCUAGAGAAAUUGUUAGAUGAGAUUUGAGAAGAUUUGCACAUGGACCCUUAAGCAACAAAGUUGGUCAAGCAGGAUAUGUUAUUGAUGCUCAUUCUUAGCUAGGUGGACAUCUCUGAGUGGAAAAAUAUAAGAUGUGAGAUUCUAUCGGAAUUUCAUGAUUAAAUUUGGGUUUGGCAUAUAGGGUAGAAGCAAACUUUGGAACUAGUGGAAAGAUUGUUUAGUUGGCCAAGGAUGAGGGAUUAUAUAGGUCGUAGCAAAUGUCAAAAAUUGUCUUACCUUCCAAUAAGACAAGGUAGUCACUCAAGCACCAAGUAGACUAUAGAUAUGUUUAAGCUCAUGUGCACAAAGAUAUUGAUGUUGACGAUUCAUCAUGUAGAGAUAGAUGAAAAUACUAAUUAGAUUAAUGUCAUUUUAGAAAUUACUUAAAGACACUUUAUCCAAAUGGAGCAAUCCAAUUGGCCAUGUUUGUUGGAUGUCAUCCAUCUUUGUUAUAAAAUGCAAAAUACCUUGAUGAGUUA